rnacentral:rRNA from 1 species
UAGGGAAUCUUCCACAAUGGACGCAAGUCUGAUGGAGCAACGCGCGUGAGUGAAGAAGGUUUUCGGACCGUAAAGCUCUGUUGUUGGUGAAGAAGGAUAGAGGUAGUAACUGGCCUUUAUUUGACGGUAAUCAACCAGAAAGUCACGGCUAACUACGUGCCAGCAGCCGCGGUAAUACGUAGGUGGCAAGCGUUGUCCGGAUUUAUUGGGCGUAAAGCGAGCGCAGGCGGAAGAAUAAGUCUGAUGUGAAAGCCCCUCGGCUUAACC